rnacentral:rRNA from 1 species
CCUACGGGAGGCAGCAGUAGGGAAUCUUCCACAAUGGGCGAAAGCCUGAUGGAGCAACGCCGCGUGGGUGAAGAAGGUCUUCGGAUCGUAAAACUCUGUUUUUAGAGAAGUAAGUGCGUGAGAGUAACUGUUCACGUUUCGACGGUAUCUAACCAGAAAGCCACGGCUAACUACGUGCCAGCAGCCGCUGUAAUACGUAGGUGGCAAUCGUUAUCCGGAUUUAUUGGGCGUAAAGGGAACGCAGGCGGUCUUUUAAGUCUGAUGUGAAAGCCUUCGGCUUAACCGGAGUAGUGCAUUGGAAACUGGGAGACUUGAGUGCAGAAGAGGAGAGUGGAACUCCAUGUGUAGCGGUGAAAUGCGUAGAUAUAUGGAAGAACACCAGUGGCGAAAGCGGCUCUCUGGUCUGUAACUGACGCUGAGGUUCGAAAGCGUGGGUAGCAAACAGGAUUAGAUACCCCUGUAGUC